CUCUCCUCACCCUUGGCUCAACAUGUUGUUGGUUGACAACCUUUCUGUAAUGCAGAACAGCUUGCCGUAGAUUCUGCAAUGCAGAGCAUCUAUCAAUUACAGCAUCUAAGGCUUCUCAAUAAUCUUGUUAUCUUCCACAACAAUAGGAUAUCAUCAAUGCCAAAAGCACGACCUUGCUCUGUUCCAGUCCUUACUCUGGUAACACUAGAGGGGGAUGCAGCAGCAUUGCCUCCAGU
rnacentral:misc_RNA from 1 species